rnacentral:rRNA from 1 species
AAUUUCGGACACUGGGGGAAACCCUGAUCCAGCCAUCUCGCGUGCCUGUUGAAGGCGUUUGGCUUGUCCAGUACUUUUGUCAGAGACGAAAAGGUACCUCCUAAUUCCAGGUACUGCUCCCGGUAUCUCCAGAACAAGUACCGGCUAACUACGUUCCAGCAGCCGCGGUAAUCCGUAGGUUGCAAGCGUUAAUCGGAAUUACUGGGCGUAAAGCGUGUAUAGGCGGUUCGGAAAGAAAGAUGUGAAAUCCCAGGGCUCAACCUUGGAACUGCAUUUUUAACUGCCGAGCUAGAGUAUGUCAGAGGGGGGUAGAAUUCCACGUGUAGCAGUGAGAUGCGUAGAUAUGUGGAGGAAUACCGAUGGCGAAGGCAGCCCUCUGGGAUAAUACUGACGCUCAGACACGAAAGCGUGGGGAGCAAACA